CACGUAGGGCGCAAGCGUUGUCCGGAAUUAUUGGGCGUAAAGAGCUCGUAGGCGGUCUGUUGCGUCCGCUGUGAAAACUCGGGGCUUAACCCCGAGCCUGCAGUGGAUACGGGCAGACUAGAGGUAGGUAGGGGAGAAUGGAAUUCCCGGUGUAGCGGUGAAAUGCGCAGAUAUCGGGAGGAACACCGGUGGCGAAGGCGGUUCUCUGGGCCUUACCUAACGCUGAGGAGCGAAAGCGUGGGGAGCGAACAGG
rnacentral:rRNA from 1 species